UGGUCUGCGCAUGUGUAGCAAGAGGUUUAAAAUUAUACCGGAAGUGUGCGCUCACGUUUUUCAAACAAACAUUUGGUCGUCGUCGAGCCUGUGUGGAUGUCACGAGGGGAAAGGAAGGUACUAUGAGAUGCUUCAAAGGCUGAAAAUUAACCAGUUUUAUGGAGCACCAACAGUCAUCCGCCUUUUGCUGAAGUACGGAGACCAUCGAGUGCAAAAAUACGACCGCUCCACCCUCAAAACUGUGGGCACCGCAGUGGAUGAGCCAAUCAACAUGUGCACAGAGACCAGUGGCAUCUGCAUCCCAUCCAGGCCUUCACAACCAGAAACAGAUUGUCCCAGGAAUGGCCAUGAGACCUUUUUGGGAAUAAAACCAGUGCUCAAGCACAGUGAGAACACGCAGGUUUGAUUUCAGCGGCAACACCAUCAUGUUUUCCACGGACAAGCAGAUGGGCUAUCAGUGUUUCAUGAACUUCUUCGACUUGAGGGAUCCACAACAGAUUGUCAGGAGAAGUCCUGAAGAAAGCUGAGGAGCACAGCAGGCACAUCAACGACAUCCAGACAUCUGUAGGCCUCACCAUGUUCAUCUGUGCCUCACAGGACAACACCAACAAGGUGCUUAUGGGAGGUGAGCAGGAGGCCAUGGAAGUGACCACAGCUUCCACCAGGAUUGGCAAGUUUGAGGCCAGGUUCUUCCAAGCUGCGUACAAAGAGGAGUUUGGCAGGAGUCAAAGGUCAUUUUGGUCCCAUCAACUGCGUGGCUUUCCACCCUGACGGCAAGAGAUGGAGAUGACUUGUGGACACAGCAGCUUGGACUCUGCCAGGUA